rnacentral:rRNA from 1 species
UACAGAGGUCCCAAGCGUUGUUCGGAUUCAUUGGGCGUAAAGGGUGCGUAGGCGGCGCGGUAAGUCGGGUGUGAAAUCUCGGAGCUUAACUCCGAAACUGCAUUCGAUACUGCCGUGCUUGAGGACUGGAGAGGAGACUGGAAUUCACGGUGUAGCGGUGAAAUGCGUAGAUAUCGUAAGGAAGACCAGUGGCGAAGGCGGGUCUCUGGACAGUUCCUGACGCUGAGGCACGAAGGCCAGGGGAGCAAACGGG